rnacentral:rRNA from 1 species
GACGAACGCUGGCGGCGUGCUUAACACAUGCGAGUCGAACGGAAAGGCCCUGCUUUUGUGGGGUGCUCGAGUGGCGAACGGGUGAGUAACACGUAAGUAACCUGCCCUUGACUUUGGGAUAACUUCAGGAAACUGGGGCUAAUACCGGAUAGGAGCUCCUGCUGCAUGGUGGGGGUUGGAAAGUUUCGGCGGUUGGGGAUGGACUCGCGGCUUAUCAGCUUGUUGGUGGGGUAGUGGCUUACCAAGGCUUUGACGGGUAGCCGGCCUGAGAGGGUGACCGGCCACAUUGGGACUGAGGUACGGCCCAGACUCCUACGGGAGGCAGCAGUGGGGAAUAUUGCACAAUGGGCGGAAGCCUGAUGCAGCAACGCCGCGUGCGGGAUGACGGCCUUCGGGUUGUAAACCGCUUUCGCCUGUGACGAAGCGUGAGUGACGGUAAUGGGUAAAGAAGCACCGGCUAACUACGUG